rnacentral:rRNA from 1 species
CCUACGGGAGGCAGCAGUAGGGAAUCUUUCACAAUGGGCGAAAGCCUGAUGGAGCAACGCCGCGUGCAGGAUGAAGGCCUUCGGGUUGUAAACUGCUUUUAUAAGCGAGAAAUAUGAUGGUAACUUAUGAAUAAGGAUCGGCUAACUACGUGCCAGCAGCCGCGGUCAUACGUAGGAUCCGAGCAUUAUCCGGAGUGACUGGGUGUAAAGAGUUGCGUAGGUGGCAUAAUAAGUAGCUAGUGAAAUCUGGUGGCUCAACCAUUCAGACUAUUAGCUAAACUGUUAAGCUCGAGACCGUUAGGGGUAACUGGAAUUUCUAGUGUAGGAGUGAAAUCCAUAGAUAUUAGAAGGAACACCAAUAGCGUAGGCAGGUUGCUGGGACGGUUCUGACACUAAGGCACGAAAGCGUAGGGAGCAAACGGGAUUAGAUACCCCAGUAGUC